GUUCUUUCCGUAAUUUCCGUUAUUAUUUCCGUUAUUUUUCCCUGUUACUUCCGUUAUUAUUUCUGUUUUUUCGUUUUUUUCUUUUAUUUCCGUUGUUGUUCUUGACCUGUCACCUAAUUUUUUGCCGUAUGUUUCUGUCUCUCUGGAGGUUAUUUCCGUUUUUUCCGUUCUUUCCGUUGUUGUUCUUGACCUGUCACCUAAUUUUCUGCCGUAUGUUUCUGUCUUUCGGAGUUUAUUUCUGUUAUUUCCGUUAUUUCCAUUAUUUCCGUUAUUUCCAUUAUUUCCGUUGUUGUUCUUGACCUGUCACCUAAUUUUCUGCCGCAUGUUUCAUUCUCUCUGGAGGUUCUUUCCGGUAUUUCCGUUCUUUCCGUUGUUGUUCUUGACUUGUCACCUAAUUUUCUGCCUUAUGUUUCUGUCUUUCGAAGGUUAUUUCCGUUAUUUCUGUUAUUUCCGUUAUUUCCGUUGUUGUUCUUGACCUGUCACCUAAUUUUCUGUCGUAAGGUUCUCUCUCUGUGGAGGUUAUUUCCAUUAUUUUCUGUUAUUUCAGUUAUUUCCGUUAUUUCCUUUCUUUCCGUUCUUUCCGUUGUUUUUCUUGACCUGUCACCUAAUUUUCUGUCGUAAGGUUCUCUCUCUGUGGAGGUUAUUUCCAUUAUUUUCUGUUAUUUCAGUUAUUUCCGUUAUUUCCUUUCUUUCCGUUCUUUCCGUUGUUUUUCUUGACCUGUCACCUAAUUUUCUGCCGCAUAUUUCCGACUCUGAGGAGGUUAUUUCCGUUCUUUCCGUUCUUUCCGUUGUUAUUCUUGACCUGUUACCAAAUUUUCUGCUGCAUGUUUCUUUCUCUGUGGAGGUUAGUUCCGUUAUUUUUGUUAUUUCCGUUACUUCCGUUAUUUCUGUUAAUUCUGUUCUUUCUGUUAUUUCCGUUGUUGUUCUUGGCCAGUCACCUAAUUUUCUGCUGUAUGUUUCUGUCUUUCGGAGGUUAUUUCCGUUAUUUCCAUUCUUUCCGUUAUUAUUUCCGUUAUUUCCUUUUUUUCUUUUAUUUCUGUUGUUGUUCUUGACCUGUCACGUAAUUUUCUGCCGUAUGUUUCUGUCUCUCUGGAGGUUCUUUCCGUUCUUUCCUUUAUUUCCGUUAUUAUUACCAUUAUUUCUGUUAUUAUUUCUUUUUCUAUGUCCGUUAUUUCGUUUUUUGCAGUUCUUUUUGUUGUUGUUCUUGACCUGUCACUUAAUUUUCUGCCGUAUGUUUCUGUCUCUCUGGAGGUUAUUUCCGUUAUUUCCGUUAUUUCCGUUGUUUUUCCAGACCUGUCACCUAAUUUUCUGCCAUAUGUUUCUGUCUCUCUGGAGGUUAUUUCCGUUGUUUCCGUUGUUUUAAUUGUUUCCGUUGUUUCCGUUAUUUCUGUUGUUGUUCUUGACCUGUCACCUAAUUUUCUGCUGUGUGUUUCUGUCUCUCUGGAGGUUCUUUCCGUUCUUUCCAUUCUUUCCAUGUUUUCCAAUAUUAUUUCCGUUAUUUCCGUUAUUAUUUCCAUUAUUUCGUUUUUUUUAUUUAUUUCCGUUGUUGUUCUUGACCUGUCACCUAUUUUUCUGCCUUAUGUUUCUGUCUCUCUGGCGGUUCUUGCCGUUCUUUCUGUUAUUAUUUUUGUUAUUUCCGUUAUUUCUGUUUUUACUUCUGUUAUUUUUGUUAUUCUGUUAUUAUUUCCGUUAUUUCCGUUAUUAUUUCCGUUCUUUCCGUUAUUAUUUCUGUUAUUAUUUCUGUUAUUUCCAUUUUUUCCGUUAUUUUUUCCGUUAUUUCUUUUUUUUUUCUGUUCUUUUCGUUGUUGUUCUUGACCUGUCACUUAAUUUUCUGCCCUAUGUUUUUGUGUCACUGGAGGUUUUUUCCGUUCUUUCCGUUGUUUCCAUUGUUUAAUGUUGUUUCCAUUGUUUCCGUUGUUUCAGUUGUUUCAGUUGUUUCAGUUGUUUCCGUUGUUUCCGUUGUUUUUGUUGUUUCUGUUGUUUCCGUUGUUUCAGUUGUUUCAGUUGUUUCCGUUGUUUCCGUUGUUUUUGUUGUUUCUGUUGUUUCCGUUGUUUCUGUUCUUGUUAUUGACCUGUCACCUAAUUUUCUGGCGUAUGUUUCUGUCUCUGUGAAGGUUAUCUCCGUUAUUUCCGUUAUUUCCGUUCUUUCCUUUAUUUCCGUUAUUAUUUCCAUUAUUUCCGUUAUUUCCGUUGUUGUUCUUGACCUGUCACCUAAUUUUCUGCCGUAUGUUUCUGUCUCUCUGGAGGAUCUCUCUCUUCUUUCCGUUAUUUCGUUAUUUCCAUUAUUUCCAUUAUUUCUGUUGUUGUUCUUGACCUGUCACCUAAUUUUCUGCCGUAUGUUUCCAUCUCUCUGAAGGUUCUUUCCUUUGGUUCCGUUAUUAUUUCCGUUAUUUCCGUAUUUAUUUUCGUUAUUUCCGUUAUUUCCAUUAUUAUUUCCGUUAUUUUGUUUUUUUCUGUUAUUUCCGUUUUUGUUCUUGUCCUGUCACGUAAUUUUCUGCCGUAAGUUUCUGUCUCUGUGGAGGUUAUUUCCGUUAUUUCCGUUACUUCCGUUAUUUCCGUUAUUUCCGUUAUUUCCAUUAUUUCCGUUGUUAUUUUUGACCUGUCACCUAAUUUUCUGCCGUAUGAUUCUGUCUCUGUGGAGGUUAUUUCCGUUAUUUCCGUUAUUUACACUAUUUCCACUAUUUCCUUUAUUUCCGUUAUUUACGUUGUUGAUCUUUUCCUGUCACGUAAUUUUCUGCCGUAUGUUUCUGUUUCUGUGGACGUUAUUUCCGUUAUUUCGUUUUUUUCCGUUAUUUCUGUUAUUUCCGCUAUUUCCGUUUUUUUUGUUAUUUCCUUUAUAUCCGUUAUUUCCGUUAUUUCCGUUGUUGUUUUUGCCCUGUCACCUAAUUUUCUGCCGUAUGUUUCUGUCUCUGUGGAGGUUAUGUCCGCUAUUUCCGCUAUUUCCGCUAUUUCCGUUAUUUCCGUUAUUUCCGUUAUUUCCUUUAUUUCCGUUAUUUCCGUUGUUGUUCUUGACCUGUCACCUAAUUUUCUGCCGUUUGUUUCUGUCUCUCCGGAGGUUCUCUCCGAUCUUUCCGUUAUUAUUUCCUUUGUUGUUCUUGACCUUUCACGGAAUUUUCUGCCGUAUGUUUCCAACUUUGUGGAGAUUAUUUCAGUUAUUUCCGUUAUUUCCGUUAUUUCCGUUAUUUCUGUUAUUAUUUCCGUUAUUUCCGUUAUUAUUUCCGUUAUGUCCAUUUUUAUUUCCGCUAUUUCCGUUAUUUCCAUUAAUUCCAUUAUUUCUGUUGUUGUUCUUGACCUGUCACCUAGUUUUCUGCCGUCUGUUUCUGUCUCUCUGGUGGUUCUUUCCGUUCUUUCCGUUAUUUCCGUUGUUGUUCUUGACCUGUCACGUAAUUUUAUGCCGUAUGUUUCUG
ensembl:lncRNA